rnacentral:tRNA from 1 species
GAAUAAAUCUAAAUUUUAGAAUUUAAUUUCGACUUAAAUAUAUGAUUAAUCUUAAUCUAUUCA